rnacentral:rRNA from 1 species
UCNAGGGANUUCAUAUUCCCGGCUGACGGCUCCCUAACACGUGGAUAACCUGCCCUCAGGUGGGGGAUAAUCUCGGGAAACUGAGGAUAAUACCCCAUAAGCAUCCUUUGCUGGAAUGCUUGGAUGUUCAAAGCUCAAGCGCCUGAGGAUGGGUCUGCGACCUAUCAGGUCGUAGUGGGUGUAACGGACCCACUAGCCUACGACGGGUACGGGCCUUGGAAGAGGUAGCCCGGAGAUGGACUCUGAGACACGAGUCCAGGCCCUACGGGGCGCAGCAGGCGCGAAAACUUCGCAAUGCGGGAAACCGUGACGAGGGAAUCCCGAGUGCUCAUACAAUGUAUGGGCUUUUAUUAUGUGUAAAAAGCAUGAGGAAUAAGGGCUGGGUAAGACCGGUGCCAGCCGCCGCGGUAAUACCGGCAGCUCUAGUGGUAGCCACUUUUAUUGGGCCUAAAGCGUCCGUAGCCGGUCAGGUAAAUCCUUGGGUAAAUCGUACAGCUUAACUGUGCGGAUUCCGUGGAGACUGCCUGACUUGGGACCGGGAGAGGUUGGAGGUACUCCUGGGGUAGGGGUGAAAUCCUGUAAUCCUAGGGGACCCCGGUGGCGAAGCGUCCACCAAACGGUUC